rnacentral:rRNA from 1 species
UGUUAUUGCUAGCAAAUACCACUAUUUUUAGUUGUAAAGGCAGAAGGGAGCUUGACUGCAAGACCCACCCAUCGAGCAGGGAUGAAAGUCAACCUUAGUGAUCCGAGGUGCCGAGUGGAAGGGUCGUCGCUCAA